rnacentral:lncRNA from 1 species
AUGAAGAUUUGAACUUUGGAGCAUCUCUUUGACCACCCAUGAGAAACUCUUACAAUAGCUGCAAUGCAGUAAUACCCAAACCCUAUCAACUUGAGUGUGGUUGGAGUUGAUGUGUUAGACAGACAUAUAGAUCCCUCUGAAAAGUUGCACAGCCACAGACUUAGCACAGACUGGGGACUACCUUCCAUUGUGAAGUCUCUUAUUGGUGCAAGAAACAAAACAUUUGUGUAAGAACAUUCAGUAGUUGAUCCUGUAGAGAAAACAAUGGAACAGGAAUCUACCAACAUUUCAUUUACAAACAUAUUUUAAGUAGGUGAGAGGCUUAUAUACAAGUCACAUCCUCAGGACACAGAAAAAAUCCUAUUUUGACUCAGGAAGCCAUAAUCACUGUGAAAGGAGUCAGCCUCGGCAAUUACUUUGCAGGACUGAUGGCAAGUAUGUUAUCUCCAAAUGCUAAUAAAGGGCAAGAAACAGAGGAA